rnacentral:rRNA from 1 species
AGCGAACGCUGGCGGCAGGCCUAACACAUGCAAGUCGAACGGACCCUUCGGGGUUAGUGGCGGACGGGUGAGUAACACGUGGGAACGUGCCCUUUGGUUCGGAACAACUCAGGGAAACUUGAGCUAAUACCGGAUGUGCCCUUCGGGGGAAAGAUUUAUCGCCAUUGGAGCGGCCCGCGUCUGAUUAGCUAGUUGGUGAGGUAAAGGCUCACCAAGGCGACGAUCAGUAGCUGGUCUGGGAGGAUGAUCAGCCACAUUGGGACUGAGACACGGCCCAAACUCCUACGGGAGGCAGCAGUGGGGAAUCUUGCGCAAUGGGCGAAAGCCUGACGCAGCCAUGCCGCGUGAAUGAUGAAGGUCUUAGGAUUGUAAAAUUCUUUCACCGGGGACGAUAAUGACGGUACCCGGAGAAGAAGCCCCGGCUAACUUCGUGCCAGCCGCCGCAGUAAAAC